GCUCCAAUAGCGUAUAUUUAAGUUGUUGCAGUUAAAAAGCUCGUAGUUGGAUUUCGGGUGGGUACCGCCGGUCUCCCUUUGGGUAUGUACUGGCGUGGCCCGCCUUGCUGUCGGGGACGAUCUCCUGGGCUUAACUGUCCGGGAAUCGGAGUCGACGAUGUUACUUUGAGUAAAUUAGAGUGUUCAAAGCAAGCCUACGCUCUGAAUAUAAUAGCAUGGGAUAACACGACAGGACUCUGGCCUAUCGUGUUGGUCUGUAGGACCGGAGUAAUGAUUAAGAGGGACAGUCGGGGGCAUUCGUAUUCCAUUGUCAGAGGUGAAAUUCUUGGAUUUAUGGAAGACGAACAUCUGCGAAAGCAUUUGUCAAGGAUGUUUUCAUUGAUCAAGAACGAAA
rnacentral:rRNA from 1 species